UACGUAGGGGGCUAGCGUUGUCCGGAAUCAUUGGGCGUAAAGAGCGUGUAGGCGGCCCGGUAAGUCCGCUGUAAAAGUCAAAGGCUCAACCUUUGAAUGUCAGUGGAUACUGCCGGGCUAGAGUCCGGAAGAGGCGAGUGGAACUCCUGGUGUAGCGGUGGAAUGCGCAGAUAUCAGGAAGAACACCAACGGCGAAGGCAGCUCGCUAGGACGGUACUGACGCUGGAGAACGCGGAAAGCGUGGGGAGCGAACAGG
rnacentral:rRNA from 1 species